rnacentral:rRNA from 1 species
AUAAAUAAACUUAAUACAUACAUACUAGUUCUCGUUCGAUCACUGAAGUCAAGCAAAGUUGAGCAUGGUUAGUACUUAGAUGGGUGACCGCUUGAGAACACCGUGUGAUGUCCCUU